UACGUAGGGGGCGAGCGUUGUCCGGAUUUCUUGGGCGUAAAGAGCGUGUAGGCGGCCAUACAGGUCAGCUGUGAAAACUCGAGGCUCAACCUCGAGACGUCGGUUGAAACCGUAUGGCUAGAGUCCGGAAGAGGAGAGUGGAAUUCCCGGUGUAGCGGUGAAAUGCGCAGAUAUCGGGAAGAACACCCGUGGCGAAGGCGGCUCUCUGGGACGGUACUGACGCUGAGACGCGAAAGCGUGGGGAGCGAACAGG
rnacentral:rRNA from 1 species